GACGAACGCUGGCGGCGUGCUUAACACAUGCAAGUCGAACGGAAAGGCCCUGCUUUUGUGGGGUGCUCGAGUGGCGAACGGGUGAGUAACACGUGAGUAACCUGCCCUUGACUUUGGGAUAACUUCAGGAAACUGGGGCUAAUACCGGAUAGGAGCUCCUGCUGCAUGGUGGGGGUUGGAAAGUUUCGGCGGUUGGGGAUGGACUCGCGGCUUAUCAGCUUGUUGGUGGGGUAGUGGCUUACCAAGGCUUUGACGGGUAGCCGGCCUGAGAGGGUGACCGGCCACAUUGGGACUGGGAUACGGCCCAGACUCCUACGGGAGGGAGGAGUGGGGAAUAUUGCACAAUGGGCGGAAGCCUGAUGCAGCAACGCCGCGUGCGGGAUGACGGCCUUCGGGUUGUAAACCGCUUUCGCCUGUGACGAAGCGUGAGUGACGGUAAUGGGUAAAGAAGCACCGGCUAACUACGUG
rnacentral:rRNA from 1 species